AGAUUUGCGCAGUGGCGAUAGCGUGCCAAUGAGGCUCUGCCGAGGUGCGUUUAUUGCUGGUUCA
rnacentral:snRNA from 1 species